GGUAGCGUGGCCGAGAGGUCUAAGGCGCUGGUUUAAGGCACCAGUCUCUUCGGAGGCGAGGGUUCGAAUCCCACCGCUGCCA
rnacentral:tRNA from 1 species